AUGGCCACGGCGGCGCCUCACGUCAUGGUGCUGCCGCUCGCGGCGCAGGGCCACGUGACCCCGCUCAUGGAGCUGUCGCACCGCCUCGUGGAGCACGGCGUCGAGGUCACCUUCGUCUGCACCGAGCCCACCCACGCGCUCGUCCUCGGCGCCCUGCGACUGCGACAGGCCACGGUGGACGGGAUCCACCUGGUCUCCAUGCCGGACGGCCUGGCCGACGGGGACGACCGCCGGGACCUCGGCAAGGUCCUGGACGCGCUCGCCCGGUGCAUGCCGGGCUACGUGGAGGAGCUCAUCAAGGAGAAGAAGGUGACGUGGCUCGUCGCCGACGCCAACCUGGGGUCCUUGUGCUUCGAGGUCGCCAAGAAGCUCGGCGUUCGGGUCGCCUCCUUCUUCCCGGCGUCCGCUGCAUGCCUUGGGACCUUGUCCAGGAUUCCCCAGCUCAUAGAGGAUGGCUUCUUCGACGACAAAGGCGUCCCGAAGCGACGAGAGGCGGUCGAGCUGGCCCCCGAGAUGCCGCCGGUCUACACGUCGCACAUGCUGUGGAGCGUCGACGGCGGGCCCGAGGUGCAGCACGUGGCCUUCCAGCUGGUGUGCCGGAACACCGAGGCGGCCUGCCUCGCCGACGUCGUCGUCUGCAACUCGUUCCUCGAAGCGGAGGCCACGGCGUUCGAGCUGUUCCCCGACAUACUGCCCAUCGGCCCGCUGCUCGCUGACCCCGGAAAGCCCGUGGGGCAGUUCCUGCCGGAGGACACGAGGUGCCUCGGCUGGCUCGACGCGCAUCCCGACAGCUCCGUGGUGUACGUGGCGUUCGGCACCUCCACCGUCUUCGAGCCCCGCCAGUUCCGAGAGCUCGGCGAGGGGCUGGAGCUCACCGGCCGGCCCUUCCUGUGGGUGGUGCGCCCGGACUUCACGUCCGGCGCCGGCAUCAGCAAGGCCUGGUUCGACGAGUUCGAAGGGCGCGUCGCCGGCAAGGGCAUGAUCGUCAGCUGGUGCUCCCAGCAGCAGGUUCUGGCGCACCGGGCCGUGGCGUGCUUCGUGUCCCACUGCGGAUGGAACUCGACGAUGGAAGGGGUGAGGAACGGCGUGCCCUUCCUGUGCUGGUCCAGACUGAAGGUCGACCAGUACACCAACCGGAGUUACAUCUGCGACAUCUGGAGGACCGGCCUGGCCGUGUCGCCUGGGGAAGAUGGGGUCGUGACCAAGGAGGAGGUGAACACCAAGCUGGAACAGGUCAUGGGUGACCACGGGAUCGCAGAGAGGGCACGGGUGCUCAGGGACGCAGCUCGCAGGAGUCUCGGCGUGGGCGGCUCGUCGUAUGAGAAUUUCAAGAGAUUUAUUAGCCUCCUAAAGGAGUGA
rnacentral:rRNA from 1 species